AUUGAACGCUGGCGGCAGGCUUAACACAUGCAAGUCGAGCGGAUGAAGCGAGCUUGCUCCUGGAUUCCGCGGCGGACGGGUGAGUAAUGCCUAGGAAUCUGCCUGGUAGUGGGGGAUAAUGUCCUGAGACGGGCGCUAAUACCGCCUACGUCCUGAGGGAGCAAGUUGGGGAUCUUCGGACCUGGCGCUUUGGGAUGGACUCGGGGCUUAUUAGCUAGUUGGUGGGGUAGUGGCUUACCAAGGCUAUGAUGGGUAGCUGGCCUGAGAGGGUGACCGGCCACAUUGGGACUGAGAUACGGCCCAGACUCCUACGGGAGGCAGCAGUGGGGAAUAUUGCACAAUGGGCGGAAGCCUGAUGCAGCAACGCCGCGUGCGGGAUGACGGCCUUCGGGUUGUAAACCGCUUUCGCCUGUGGCGAAGCGUGAGUGACGGUAAUGGGUAAAGAAGCACCGGCUAACUACGUG
rnacentral:rRNA from 1 species